CCUCCUGCUCAUCUCUGAACCUUUUGCAGUCAUGCUUCUGAUACAAAUUCUCAACUGAAAUUGCUCUUUUCAAGGUGAUCUCAGCAGUUCCCAUGAGGUUAACCGCCAUCUCUAUUCAGGACACACAAAUGGAACGGGCGGACUUUUAUCUGUUAUCGCUCACUCUUACUACACAACCAGCACCAUCUUUUUCUUUGCUCAGCAGAAAGUAAACACUGAGAUUCCAAAUGGAAAGUCAAGUUGAGCUACAGAAGGAACAGCAUAAAAGAAGUCACUACAAGAGACUAGACUUUGGGGCCCUGAAGUACCAGAGGUGGGAGAUGCUUUGGCCAGGUUUGAUCUCUACAAAUGCAUUCUAUGUGGGUGCCCAUUCUUCUCAUAGGUGCUGCAUGUGUUUGUAAGAGGAAGCACUCCAGGCUUCUAGAAUGCUUUGUUACUACUGCUUAUACUUAUCCAUUCUGGUAAAGGCCUUUGCUUUGAGCUUUGUUAACUGUUACGACUUUUAACGGUGAAUUCACCAAUGGGGACGCAUGAACUCAUGAAUUAGUUUUAAGAGUACAAAUCCACACAGUACACUGGACCUGGGGUUGUCAUCUUCCAGGGAAGCUGUGUAUGGGGGUGGGGUGGGGUAGAAGAAAGGAAAAGAGUAGGCUUUGAGGGACUGCUAUAUUAAAAACUGAUAAGAAUUAAAAGUAGAAAUAGCAUAUGACCUGAUGUGGCUUAUUCAAAAUUGUUUUCCUUAUAGUUAUAUCCUCAUAUUAUUGACAAAUAUAUUAUUAUUUAGUCACAGGUCUGUGACAUAAUUUUUGGCUGUAAACUCAUUCUAUGGUUAAAAACAAAA